rnacentral:rRNA from 1 species
GAUGAACGCUAGCGGCAGGCCUAACACAUGCAAGUCGAGGGGGAAGUUACUUUCGGGUAACUGAGACCGGCGUACGGGUGCGUAACGCGUAUACAAUCUGCCUUUCACUGGGGGAUAGCCCGAAGAAAUUUGGAUUAAUACCCCAUAGUAUAUAGGGACGGCAUCGUUUUUAUAUUAAAGCUACGGUGGUGAAAGAUGAGUAUGCGUUCUAUUAGCUAGUUGGAGAGGUAACGGCUCCCCAAGGCGAUGAUAGAUAGGGGUUCUGAGAGGGAUGUCCCCCACACUGGUACUGAGAUACGGACCAGACUCCUACGGGAGGCAGCAGUGAGGAAUAUUGGACAAUGGUCGGAAGACUGAUCCAGCCAUGCCGCGUGCAGGAUGAAGGUCUUAUGGAUUGUAAACUGCUUUUGUAAGGGAAGAAUAAGAGCUACGCG